CGGACGGGUGAGUAACACGUGGAUAACCUACCUAUAAGACUGGGAUAACUUCGGGAAACCGGAGCUAAUACCGGAUAAUAUUUUGAACCGCAUGGUUCAAAAGUAAAAGACGGUCUUGCUGUCACUUAUAGAUGGAUCCGCGCUGCAUUAGCUAGUUGGUAAGGUAACGGCUUACCAAGGCAACGAUGCAUAGCCGACCUGAGAGGGUGAUCGGCCACACUGGAACUGAGACACAGUCCAG
rnacentral:rRNA from 1 species